GACGAACGCUGGCGGCGCGCCUAACACAUGCAAGUCGAACGAGCGAGAGGAGGUUUACUUUCUCAAGCGAGUGGCGAACGGGUGAGUAACGCGUGAGGAACCUGCCUCAAAGAGGGGGACAACAGUUGGAAACGACUGCUAAUACCGCAUAAGCCCACGACCCGGCAUCGGGUAGAGGGAAAAGGAGCAAUCCGCUUUGAGAUGGCCUCGCGUCCGAUUAGCUAGUUGGUGAGGUAAUGGCCCACCAAGGCGACGAUCGGUAGCCGGACUGAGAGGUUGAACCGCCACCUUGGGACUGAGACACGGCCCAGACUUCUACGGGAGGCAGCAGUGGGGAAUAUUGCACAAUGGGGGAAACCCUGAUGCAGCGACGCCGCGUGGAGGAAGAAGGUCUUCGGAUUGUAAACUCCUGUUGUUGAGGAAGAUAAUGACGGUACUCAACAAGGAAGUGACGGCUAACUACGUG
rnacentral:rRNA from 1 species